rnacentral:siRNA from 1 species
AUCCUUGAAGAAAUGGUUUCCUGU